rnacentral:rRNA from 1 species
CAAACGACUCUCGGCAACGGAUAUCCCGGCUCUCGCAUCGAUGAAGAACGUAGCGAAAUGCGAUACUUGGUGUGAAUUGCAGAAUCCCGUGAACCAUCGAGUUUUUGAACGCAAGUUGCGCCCGAUGCCGUUAGGUUGAGGGCACGUCUGCCUGGGUGUCACGU